CCCUAACUCCCGUCGAUCCCCUCUCAUCCUCUCCCCCGAUUUAGAUCGUCGUCGCCGCCGCAUGUUCUGCCCCUCCCCCUCCCACCCCCUCGCUGUCGCCUGCUCCUUCCUCUCCAACCUCGGCUCUCGCUUCGCCGCCCCGCGCCCCGCGCUCGCCGCACACACGCAGCUCCUGUCCAUGAAGAUCGGCGCCGCCACCUCCCUCCCCAUCCACUCGUCGCUUCCUCACUCUAUCACUUCUCCUCCUCUCCCGCGAGUCCCCCACCCGCCACCUCCGCACCCACCGGUCGCCGUGCUCCCCUCUGCUGCCGCCGCACCACGCCCACCAUAUCUCCCUUGUCCGGGAGGAUCCCGUCGCUACCGCGCCUCUUCCUGCGCCCCCCCUAGCCUCGCCUCCAACCUAUAGGCGAUGGCGUCCGAGAGGUCAGAUCCGCACCACUACUCCGGCGAUGGUGUCGGCGAACGACGCUGGCGGGGGACACGAACCUCACUUGACAUCGACGGGUCUACGCCGGGCAGCUCAUCGACCUCGCGGGCUCCAGUGACGGCUCCUCCACGAUCACUGCCACCUUCCUCCGCGCGGAUCUGAUGCGGUUCAUCGACGAGGAGAUGUCUCGCUGACCAGGCCCCUGCAAACUCCAGCUCCAGCAGCUGUCCACGGAGCCAGCUCCAGCGUCAAGGGCAUAACGGCAGCAACAGCAAGGUUCGACCCCCCUCUCGAUUUCAUCUUCUUACAUUCCAUUGCCUGAUGCCCAUGGACUCAACCAUGGAGAAGGUCCCUCUCCCUCUGUAUUUUUGACAAGUCCAAGCCAAUGUUGUUGUCAUAAUGUUGCAAGGUGCCUGAUGCUCGCGGACACAACGACAGCAGCAGCGAGGUGUCUAUUAGCAGCAAUAGCAGCAAUGGAAAGAACAAUCCUCUCAUGGUUAGUUAGCAGCAUUAGGAGGAGGAGCUCAAGCAGGCCACCACGACGCAACACCGAACAGCAGACUCGAAGGAGACCAUAUGCAAGGCACCUCCUCUUCAGUUGUGAGAGUGUCUAGGGGUCGUGGGUGCGGCUAAUUCCUAUGUCUGUAGACGCACUUGACAUUGCCCUCUCUUUAAGGGCACGUAUCGUUUUUUCUAACUCUACUAUGUUUUCCCAAGUCUUUAUUAUCUUGCCUAGCCUUGUACUGAUAUGUAUUGUUUGAUGUUAAUUACCCAAGUUAGUGCGUGAUGUAAAGCAUAACCUGAGAACACUUGCCUAAGUUUAUAAGAUAUGACAUGUGACAGUUCAAGCCUGCUGCUCUUUCAGUGCUUUUGCUGCUGUACUGUGCUUCUCUAGUUGUUUGAAUGCUUCUACUGCUAGCCUGCUAGGCUGCUACUAGCUUGAAUAGGUGUGCACUUGUGCUGGUGGUGGUGCUGCUUGUGUUGCUGCUGCUGAUUUAAUGCUUAUGCUGACGCUGCUGUUGAUUAAAUGCUUAUGUUGUUGCUGCAUGCUUAUGCUACUGAUUCAAUGCUUUGGAAAUUGAUUGAAUUGAACCUGUUGUAAUCCUUCUUGUUAUACUUGUAUUUAAUUUUUGGGUUUCUAUUUGAUUUUUUAGUCUCUUAUAUAUGGUUCAUCUUCAGUUUCUUUUGUAACCUGCUUGGAGCUUAGAAUACACAACCCAACUAGUCUCAUAUACAACUAAGACCAAUGAUGCAUGCUUAAUUCUGUAUAUAUGUAUGUAUGACCAGUAAAGUUGGAAGGCCCAAAUUAAUCUUAAAGUUAAUAUGCUCAAUUCUGUACCAUAUUCAUGCUCAUGCAUCACUAGUUACUGCUUUUUUUGCUUGGUCUAUUUUGGCUCAUAACCUAAGUAUACCAAAACUGAUUAAACAAUUUCUCCAACUUACCAAAAUUUUCAUAAUUGUCUCCUGCCUUAUGAUGUUAGUCUCUAUGCACUUACUAGUAUUGUUAGUUGAAUGGAUGGUUGUGGUAGUAGAAUAGGAAUUUUCUUUAGGUGAGUGUUAUACCUAAAUUUGUACCAAUGUACCACGCAGGUAUGUAUAGAUUACUAUUGUAGAACAACAUCAGGUUAAACUGUUGCAUGCAAGUUGUUGGAAGUUUUGUUAUGCCAUGCUUAGUGUUUACUGAACUGGGGCAUUUGGUCUCUUGAAAGAUUAUUAUUUACUUCUAGUGUAUUUCACUAAUAGUUUAUCUAGAUCAGGAUCAAAUGUCGUCGGGGCUACUACUGCUGUGACAGAAGAUGAAGAAGCUUGGAGAUAAAAAUGAUAAAAAUGUCGCAUUUAUAGGAUUGUAAACCUGAUGUGAUUGGAGUAGUUUUUACUCGCUGCUGAUAGUUACUACUAUUCACUGAUUUUGCCACAUUUUGCUUGUUUUACUCUUAUUUAUGCACAGCGACUGCCUACAAGUUAAUGUGCUUUUAGAUUUGCCUUUUAUUUUGUUCCUAACAAUUUUGUUUGAUAACUUGCAGAUGCCCUUCAUUCAUGUUUCGUCGUGAGCUCCAGGACGAAGAAGUCCAGAGAAACAUAGAGUUCUAGCUUAUUGCAGCUAGUUAUACUUCAAUAGCUAGUUUUUUUUUGAUUUUUUAGUUUUGUUACCUGAUGUGAACUAGUUCUGAUGUGAACCAUGUUUGACUGUAAUGUGCCAAGUUUGGCUCUGUUUGAUUAUAUUCAUGAUGUGAACUAUGUUUUCAUGAUA